GCGUCAGGCGGGCGUGGCCGGGCGGGCGGGGCCGGCUCGGAGCCGGCCGCGUCCUCCGCGCCGCUGCGUGAGGGGCUCGGAGGCGCCGCUCCGGUCGUGGGCGCACGGACGGGCCGCGGGCCGGAGGGAUCUCGUGGGGAUGGCGCCUUUCUCCCGCUAUGACCAGUGCGGCCUUUCCGGCAGGGACAGUGGGGAAAUUGCUGGGGAUGUCACUGGUCUGUGCUGCCGGGGCCGCCCCGUCGUCGCUGGGCAGGUCGCUAGUCUGAGGGUGCCCGUGACCCCGGUAGCGAGCUGCCCGCCGGCCCCGGGGGUGUGGGCCUGCCGCAGUGGGCAUUCAGAUGGCACAAUGCUGUUCAUGAAUCCACUGAAACAUAAUGUUGGAAUUGUACAUUGGAGAGCUUUUACAAAGCAGUAGUGAAAUAUUAAGUCCUGGAAAAUUAAGCUUACGAGGAUUUUGUUGAGCAAAGUCGUUCUCACAUAUCCCAGGCUGCUGCAACUGAAUCGUCUACUGCAAUCUCCAAGGCCCCAAUAGAAAGAGUUUCUUCACGUAAACAAGCCUGUUCACACACACACAAGAGAGAAGUAGUCACUCCCGUGUUGGUGUAAUCUCUCUGAGCAGCUUCUCAGACACCCUAAGGCUGUACUCUUGAAGUUGUGCACCCAUACCUGACAUGUGUACAGUGGUUUUAAGAAUAUUUUGUUAACGUUUUGCUAACUACUGAAAUAAAUUGUUCAUAAAUUA